rnacentral:rRNA from 1 species
AUGGACUUUUUGUCCUUAUGGGGAAAAAGAUUCUAUGAUGACAGGGAUAGUGAUUGGAAGAAAAUGCUGACCUACAAGUAUAAGACUAAUAUCCCUAAUCUCUUUAACACUAGGGUGACCCUGGGAUCUCCAUUUAUGAAAAGUUUAUCAUGGGCUCUUGCAGCCUCUAAAAACUUCUAUAGAUGGAUCCCUGGGGAUGGUAAAAGCAUUGCCUUCUGGCAUGACAUCUGGAUUGGAGAUUGUUCUCUUAAAACUGCAUUUUGGGGCCUGUAUACUAUUUGUCAACAGCAAGAUUCUACCCUUGCACAGGUCUGGACUAGCCUGUCUGGAUGCUAG